ACUAAGCGUACACGGUGGAUGCCCUGGCAGUCAGAGGCGAUGAAGGACGUGCUAAUCUGCGAUAAGCGUCGGUAAGGUGAUAUGAACCGUUAUAACCGGCGAUUUCCGAAUGGGGAAACCCAGUGUGAUUCGUCACACUAUCAUUAACUGAAUCCAUAGGUUAAUGAGGCGAACCGGGGGAACUGAAACAUCUAAGUACCCCGAGGAAAAGAAAUCAACCGAGAUUCCCCCAGUAGCGGCGAGCGAACGGGGAGCAGCCCAGAGCCUGAAUCAGUGUGUGUGUUAGUGGAAGCGUCUGGAAAGGCGCGCGAUACAGGGUGACAGCCCCGUACACAAAAAUGCACAUACUGUGAGCUCGAUGAGUAGGGCGGGACACGUGGUAUCCUGUCUGAAUAUGGGGGGACCAUCCUCCAAGGCUAAAUACUCCUGACUGACCGAUAGUGAACCAGUACCGUGAGGGAAAGGCGAAAAGAACCCCGGCGAGGGGAGUGAAAAAGAACCUGAAACCGUGUACGUACAAGCAGUGGGAGCACGCUUAGGCGUGUGACUGCGUACCUUUUGUAUAAUGGGUCAGCGACUUAUAUUCUGUAGCAAGGUUAACCGAAUAGGGGAGCCGAAGGGAAACCGAGUCUUAACUGGGCGUUAAGUUGCAGGGUAUAGACCCGAAACCCGGUGAUCUAGCCAUGGGCAGGUUGAAGGUUGGGUAACACUAACUGGAGGACCGAACCGACUAAUGUUGAAAAAUUAGCGGAUGACUUGUGGCUGGGGGUGAAAGGCCAAUCAAACCGGGAGAUAGCUGGUUCUCCCCGAAAGCUAUUUAGGUAGCGCCUCGUGAAUUCAUCUCCGGGGGUAGAGCACUGUUUCGGCAAGGGGGUCAUCCCGACUUACCAACCCGAUGCAAACUACGAAUACCGGAGAAUGUUAUCACGGGAGACACACGGCGGGUGCUAACGUCCGUCGUGAAGAGGGAAACAACCCAGACCGCCAGCUAAGGUCCCAAAGUCAUGGUUAAGUGGGAAACGAUGUGGGAAGGCCCAGACAGCCAGGAUGUUGGCUUAGAAGCAGCCAUCAUUUAAAGAAAGCGUAAUAGCUCACUGGUCGAGUCGGCCUGCGCGGAAGAUGUAACGGGGCUAAACCAUGCACCGAAGCUGCGGCAGCGACGCUGAUGCGUUGUUGGGUAGGGGAGCGUUCUGUAAGCCUGCGAAGGUGUGCUGUGAGGCAUGCUGGAGGUAUCAGAAGUGCGAAUGCUGACAUAAGUAACGAUAAAGCGGGUGAAAAGCCCGCUCGCCGGAAGACCAAGGGUUCCUGUCCAACGUUAAUCGGGGCAGGGUGAGUCGACCCCUAAGGCGAGGCCGAAAGGCGUAGUCGAUGGGAAACAGGUUAAUAUUCCUGUACUUGGUGUUACUGCGAAGGGGGGACGGAGAAGGCUAUGUUGGCCGGGCGACGGUUGUCCCGGUUUAAGCGUGUAGGCUGGUUUUCCAGGCAAAUCCGGAAAAUCAAGGCUGAGGCGUGAUGACGAGGCACUACGGUGCUGAAGCAACAAAUGCCCUGCUUCCAGGAAAAGCCUCUAAGCAUCAGGUAACAUCAAAUCGUACCCCAAACCGACACAGGUGGUCAGGUAGAGAAUACCAAGGCGCUUGAGAGAACUCGGGUGAAGGAACUAGGCAAAAUGGUGCCGUAACUUCGGGAGAAGGCACGCUGAUAUGUAGGUGAAGUGAUUUACUCAUGGAGCUGAAAUCAGUCGAAGAUACCAGCUGGCUGCAACUGUUUAUUAAAAACACAGCACUGUGCAAACACGAAAGUGGACGUAUACGGUGUGACGCCUGCCCGGUGCCGGAAGGUUAAUUGAUGGGGUUAGCGCAAGCGAAGCUCUUGAUCGAAGCCCCGGUAAACGGCGGCCGUAACUAUAACGGUCCUAAGGUAGCGAAAUUCCUUGUCGGGUAAGUUCCGACCUGCACGAAUGGCGUAAUGAUGGCCAGGCUGUCUCCACCCGAGACUCAGUGAAAUUGAACUCGCUGUGAAGAUGCAGUGUACCCGCGGCAAGACGGAAAGACCCCGUGAACCUUUACUAUAGCUUGACACUGAACAUUGAGCCUUGAUGUGUAGGAUAGGUGGGAGGCUUUGAAGUGUGGACGCCAGUCUGCAUGGAGCCGACCUUGAAAUACCACCCUUUAAUGUUUGAUGUUCUAACGUGGACCCGUAAUCCGGGUUGCGGACAGUGUCUGGUGGGUAGUUUGACUGGGGCGGUCUCCUCCUAAAGAGUAACGGAGGAGCACGAAGGUUGGCUAAUCCUGGUCGGACAUCAGGAGGUUAGUGCAAUGGCAUAAGCCAGCUUGACUGCGAGCGUGACGGCGCGAGCAGGUGCGAAAGCAGGUCAUAGUGAUCCGGUGGUUCUGAAUGGAAGGGCCAUCGCUCAACGGAUAAAAGGUACUCCGGGGAUAACAGGCUGAUACCGCCCAAGAGUUCAUAUCGACGGCGGUGUUUGGCACCUCGAUGUCGGCUCAUCACAUCCUGGGGCUGAAGUAGGUCCCAAGGGUAUGGCUGUUCGCCAUUUAAAGUGGUACGCGAGCUGGGUUUAGAACGUCGUGAGACAGUUCGGUCCCUAUCUGCCGUGGGCGCUGGAGAACUGAGGGGGGCUGCUCCUAGUACGAGAGGACCGGAGUGGACGCAUCACUGGUGUUCGGGUUGUCAUGCCAAUGGCACUGCCCGGUAGCUAAAUGCGGAAGAGAUAAGUGCUGAAAGCAUCUAAGCACGAAACUUGCCCCGAGAUGAGUUCUCCCUGACUCCUUGAGAGUCCUGAAGGAACGUUGAAGACGACGACGUUGAUAGGCCGGGUGUGUAAGCGCAGCGAUGCGUUGAGCUAACCGGUACUAAUGAACCGUGAGGCUUAACC
rnacentral:rRNA from 1 species